rnacentral:rRNA from 1 species
AACGAACGCUGGCGGCAUGCCUAACACAUGCAAGUCGAACGAAGGCUUCGGCCUUAGUGGCGCACGGGUGCGUAACGCGUGGGGAUCUGCCCUUUGCUUCGGAAUAACAGUUAGAAAUGACUGCUAAUACCGGAUGAUGUCGUAAGACCAAAGAUUUAUCGGCAAAGGAUGAACCCGCGUAGGAUUAGCUAGUUGGUGGGGUAAAGGCCUACCAAGGCGACGAUCCUUAGCUGGUCUGAGAGGAUGAUCAGCCACACUGGGACUGAGACACGGCCCAGACUCCUACGGGAGGCAGCAGUGGGGAAUAUUGGACAAUGGGCGAAAGCCUGAUCCAGCAAUGCCGCGUGAGUGAUGAAGGCCUUAGGGUUGUAAAGCUCUUUUACCCGGGAUGAUAAUGACAGUACCGGGAGAAUAAGCUCCGGCUAGCUCCGUGCCAGCCGCCGCUGUAA